rnacentral:lncRNA from 10 species
GUGGGUGCCAGCAGAACAGGGUGGGUGCUGGGAUGCUGGAUAUGGGGUCAGGCUGGGGGAUAUGUGAUGGGCAGACAUUGCUAUCUGGACUUCGUUGGCCCAUUCAUGUGCAGGGAGGGUGGCUGGGAGCACAGCCAGCUGGGAGGCAGGUGGACCCUCAGGAAGGUGAGUGGCGCCUGCACAAAGUCAGGGCUGGCUUCGGGCGACAGAGGGUAGCCAGGGGGAGGUAUCAGUCCCUCUGCUGUUGGGGAUGAAAGGUGUCUGACUUGAGGUGAGAGGGUCCCUGUCCAGACCCAGGCUCCUGUGGGACCCUCAGUAGGGAUGUCCUGGAGGCUCCAAACAAGCUGGGAUGCAAGGAAGGCGCCUUGCCUGGAAGUCGGGCUCACCGGCCAGGGUGGCCGUCCCCUGGCCUUGCUGUGUAAGGCCCUGGGGGCAGCCGUCCACCUACCCUGCAGGGAGUGCCUCUCACCGUCCAGCAGCUGAUCCACCACGCCCAGAGCACGGUCACCCAACAUCACACCCUUGUGGACUAUCUGGGACUCAUUCCAGGAGAGUGCCGUGGGGGUGAGGCUGUGCCACUCUGGGCCUCCGCCUCAAGAAGGCCUGACAGCCUCGGUGUUUGCUCCCUUGGGAGCUUUGAGCACCACUCAAGUCGUCCAGGUGGAGAGGCCCCAUGGAGAGGGACAGGCCCUGAGAUCACCUGGAGGAGAAGCGAGGCCUGACCAUCACAGCAUCAGAGCCAAGCCUCCAAUGGCUUCAUCCCCAGGACCAUCUUCUCAAGAGACCCCAAGCAAGAGCAGCAGAAGACCCACCCAGCUGAGCCCCGCCACCCCACAGAGCCAUGCAAGGUCACAUAAUGGUCAUUUUUAGGGCACUGAGUUUGAAUGACCAGAACAGAGACUUGCUGCUCUUGAGGACAUGAAGAAGGUGCCCCAGCUUCUCAUUCCUCUCUGCCCAGGCCAGUGAUCUGAGGCUUUCUGUGGGAAAUGAAACAUAGCUCCUGCCUGGCCCUUAGGAUACACACGUCAUUCAAAAUCCCUAGCCUAAGAAAAUCAAUGCAAAUUAGAACUAGGAAAAAUAUCAGUUUCUACCUGUCACGUCGGGGGCGGGGGGAGCACAGGCACCUCACAUAUUCGUGGUGGAGUGUACUCUCGAGAGCCAUUUGGAACCACCCGCCACCAUUUACAAUGUGCCUCCCUGGCUCCCCUUGCUGCAUCAGCUUCACUUCUAGGGCUGCGUCUCCCCCAGCACACAAAUGGUAUCUCUCCAACAUUGUUCAGGUUGCAAAAGACGGGAUCCAGCCUAACCUUCCAUCCACAGGGGAUGAAGGGUUAAAUGCAUCAUGACACACUCAUGAGACGGAAUACCACGCAGUCACUCCAGCCAAUGAGGCAACGUGGGCACGGGCGGGCAGGGGCUGCCGGAUCUCUCGCCCGGCC